rnacentral:rRNA from 1 species
GGGGAAUAUUGCACAAUGGGGGAAACCCUGAUGCAGCGACGCCGCGUGAGUGAAGAAGUUAUUCGUAAUGUAAAGCUCUAUCAGCAGGGAAGAUAAUGACGGUACCUGACUAAGAAGCCCCGGCUAACUACGUGCCAGCAGCCGUGGUAAUACGUAGGGGGCAAGCGUUAUCCGGAUUUACUGGGUGUAAAGGGUGCGUAGGUGGUAUGGCAAGUCAGAAGUGAAAACCCGGGGCUCAACCCCGUGGAUUGCUUUUGAAACUGUCAGACUGGAGUACCGGAGAGGUAAGCGGAAUUCCUAGUGUAGCGGUGAAAUGCGUAGAUAUUAGGAGGAACACCAGUGGCGAAGGCGGCUCUCUGGUCUGUAACUGACGCUGAGGUUCGAAAGCGUGGGUAGCAAACAGG